rnacentral:rRNA from 1 species
UAGGGAAUCUUCCACAAUGGGCGCAAGCCUGAUGGAGCAACGCCGCGUGAGUGAAGAAGGUCUUCGGAUCGUAAAACUCUGUUGUUAGAGAAGAACAUGCAGGAGAGUAACUGUUCUUGUACUUGACGGUAUCUAACCAGAAAGCCACGGCUAACUACGUGCCAG